AUGCAGCUCUAAGUGGGUGGUAAAUUCCAUCUAAAGCUAAAUAUUGGCGAGAGACCGAUAGCGAACAAGUACAGUGAUGGAAAGAUGAAAAGAACUUUGAAAAGAGAGUGAAAAAGUACGUGAAAUUGUUGAAAGGGAAGGGUUUGAGAUCAGACUCGAUAUUUUGUGAGCCUUGCCUUCGUGGCGGGGUGACCCGCAGCUUAUCGGGCCAGCAUCGGUUUGGGCGGUAGGAUAAUGGCGUAGGAAUGUGACUUUGCUUCGGUGAAGUGUUAUAGCCUGCGUUGAUGCUGCCUGCCUAGACCGAGGACUGCGAUUUUAUCAAGGAUGCUGGCAUAAUGAUCCCAAACCGCCCGUCU
rnacentral:rRNA from 1 species